rnacentral:rRNA from 1 species
ACCGCCCGUCGCUUCAUCGAAGUGGUUUUAGGCGAGGUGGUGCGAUAUUGGCAUUAUCGAACCUGAGAUCAGCAACGAGGGAG